rnacentral:tRNA from 1 species
ACCUGGCUGGCUUGGUCAGAAGAGCAUGUGACUCUUGGUCUUAGGGUCAUGAGUUCAAGCCCCAUGCUGGGUA